ensembl:snRNA U6 U6 spliceosomal RNA
CUGCUCAACCUUCAGCACCACAUAGACUAAAAAUGGAAUGAUACAGAGAAGAUUAGCAUGGCCUCUGCGUCAAGAUGACAUGCAAAUUCAUGACGCAUUCCAUAAGGCG